CCUUAGAGUUUGAUCCUGGCUCAGGAUGAACCCUGGCGGCGUGCUUAACACAUGCAAGUCGAACGGAGAUGUACGCUGAAGAAGCUUCGGUGGAUUCUUGUGCAUCUUAGUGGCGGACGGGUGAGUAACGCGUGGGCGACCUGCCUCACACAGGGGGAUAACAGCCAGAAAUGGCUGCUAAUACCGCAUAAGCGCACAGUGCUGCAUGGCACAGUGUGAAAAACCGAGGUGGUGUGAGAUGGGCCCGCGUCUGAUUAGCUUGUUGGCGGGGUAACGGCCCACCAAGGCAACGAUCAGUAGCCGGCUUGAGAGAGUGGACGGCCACAUUGUAACUGAGACACGGUCCAAACUCCUACGGGAGGCAGCAGUGGGGAAUAUUGCACAAUGGGGGAAACCCUGAUGCAGCGACGCCGCGUGAGUGAAGAAGUAUUUCGGUAUGUAAAGCUCUAUCAGCAGGGAAGAUAAUGACGGUACCUGACUAAGAAGCCCCGGCUAACUACGUGCCAGCAGCCGCGGUAAUACGUAGGGGGCAAGCGUUAUCCGGA
rnacentral:rRNA from 1 species